AUCUUUUUAUGGGAAGCUGACUUCCUCAAAUCUGAUACAUCUCUAAAUGGCUGAGGAGAUGAAAGAGCAUUCACUAGACUGAGUCUUCAGAUUUUGUCUGCAAGAAGAGUUUGAUGCAAUCAGUCACAGCUCUUACAAGAAAACUACAAAAUUCAUUGACACUAAUUAUCUGACUUAAGGUAGAGUUUUGUGCCAGUUCUCCAUCAUCU
rnacentral:lncRNA from 1 species